UCCCGGCUUACCAACCCGAUGCAAACUGCGAAUACCGGAGAAUGUUAUCACGGGAGACACACGGCGGGUGCUAACGUCCGUCGUGAAGAGGGAAACAACCCAGACCGCCAGCUAAGGUCCCAAAGUCAUGGUUAAGUGGGAAACGAUGUGGGAAGGCCCAGACAGCCAGGAUGUUGGCUUAGAAGCAGCCAUCAUUUAAAGAAAGCGUAAUAGCUCACUGGUCGAGUCGGCCUGCGCGGAAGAUGUAACGGGGCUAAACCAUGCACCGAAGCUGCGGCAGCGAACGUAUCACUUAAAGCGAUUCAGCGGGUUACGAUUGACGGAGCGAAGCGACGUCAAAGCGUAUACAAAGUCGAGUCGGUUUAAGGAUACGUUCGUUGGGUAGGGGAGCGUUCUGUAAGCCUGUGAAGGUGUGUCGUGAGGCAUGCUGGAGGUAUCAGAAGUGCGAAUGCUGACAUAAGUAACGAUAAAGCGGGUGAAAAGCCCGCUCGCCGGAAGACCAAGGGUUCCUGUCCAACGUUAAUCGGGGCAGGGUGAGUCGACCCCUAAGGCGAGGCCGAAAGGCGUAGUCGAUGGGAAACGGGUUAAUAUUCCCGUACUUGGUGUUACUGCGAAGGGGGGACGGAGAAGGCUAUGUUGGCCGGGCGACGGUUGUCCCGGUUUAAGCGUGUAGGUGUGUGUUCCAGGUAAAUCCGGUUCACUUUAACACUGAGGCGUGAUGACGAGGCACUACGGUGCUGAAGCAACAAAUGCCCUGCUUCCAGGAAAAGCCUCUAAGCAUCAGGUAACAUCAAAUCGUACCCCAAACCGACACAGGUGGUCAGGUAGAGAAUACCAAGGCGCUUGAGAGAACUCGGGUGAAGGAACUAGGCAAAAUGGUGCCGUAACUUCGGGAGAAGGCACGCUGACACGUAGGUGAAGUGAUUUACUCAUGGAGCUGAAGUCAGUCGAAGAUACCAGCUGGCUGCAACUGUUUAUUAAAAACACAGCACUGUGCAAACACGAAAGUGGACGUAUACGGUGUGACGCCUGCCCGGUGCCGGAAGGUUAAUUGAUGGGGUCAGCGCAAGCGAAGCUCCUGAUCGAAGCCCCGGUAAACGGCGGCCGUAACUAUAACGGUCCUAAGGUAGCGAAAUUCCUUGUCGGGUAAGUUCCGACCUGCACGAAUGGCGUAAUGAUGGCCAGGCUGUCUCCACCCGAGACUCAGUGAAAUUGAACUCGCUGUGAAGAUGCAGUGUACCCGCGGCAAGACGGAAAGACCCCGUGAACCUUUACUAUAGCUUGACACUGAACAUUGAGCCUUGAUGUGUAGGAUAGGUGGGAGGCUUUGAAGCGUGGACGCCAGUCUGCGUGGAGCCGACCUUGAAAUACCACCCUUUAAUGUUU
rnacentral:rRNA from 1 species